rnacentral:rRNA from 1 species
CCCCGGGCUCAACCUGGGAACUGCAUUGGUGACUGGCAAGCUAGAGUAUGGCAGAGGGGGGUAGAAUUCCACGUGUAGCAGUGAAAUGCGUAGAGAUGUGGAGGAAUACCGAUGGCGAAGGCAGCCCCCUGGGCCAAUAAAAGUCAUGCACGAAAGCGUGGGAGCAAACAGGAUUAGAUACCCUGGUAGUCCACGCCCUAAACGAUGUCAACUAGUUGUUGGGGAUUCAUUUCCUUAGUAACGUAGCUAACGCGUGAAGUUGACCGCCUGGGGAGUACGGUCGCAAGAUUAAAACUCAAAGGAAUUGACGGGGACCCGCACAAGCGGUGGAUGAUGUGGAUUAAUUCGAUGCAACGCGAAAAACCUUCUCCCCUUGAU